UAGGGAAUCUUCGGCAAUGGACGAAAGUCUGACCGAGCAACGCCGCGUGAGUGAAGAAGGUUUUCGGAUCGUAAAACUCUGUUGUUAGAGAAGAAUAAGGGUGAGAGUAGAAAGUUCACCCCUUGACGGUAUCUAACCAGAAAGCCACGGCUAACUACGUGCCAGCAGCCGCGGUAAUACGUAGGUGGCAAGCGUUGUCCGGAUUUAUUGGGCGUAAAGCGAGCGCAGGCGGUUUCUUAAGUCUGAUGUGAAAGCCCCCGGCUCAACCGGGGAGGGUCAUUGGAAACUGGGAAACUUGAGUGCAGAAGAGGAGAGUGGAAUUCCAUGUGUAGCGGUGAAAUGCGUAGAUAUAUGGAGGAACACCAGUGGCGAAGGCGGCUCUCUGGUCUGUAACUGACGCUGAGGCUCGAAAGCGUGGGGAGCAAACA
rnacentral:rRNA from 1 species